rnacentral:rRNA from 1 species
GACGAACGCUGGCGGCGUGCUUAACACAUGCAAGUCGAACGAUGAAGCGGUGCUUGCACCGUGGAUUAGUGGCGAACGGGUGAGUAAUACGUGAGUGACCUACCUUUGACUCUGGGAUAAGCCUGGGAAACUGGGUCUAAUACCGGAUACGACCAAUCUCUGCAUGGGGUGUUGGUGGAAAGCGUUAUGGAGUGGUUUUAGAUGGGCUCACGGCCUAUCAGCUUGUUGGUGAGGUAAUGGCUUACCAAGGCGACGACGGGUAGCCGGCCUGAGAGGGUGACCGGCCACACUGGGACUGAGACACGGCCCAGACUCCUACGGGAGGCAGCAGUGGGGAAUAUUGCACAAUGGGCGCAAGCCUGAUGCAGCGACGCCGCGUGAGGGAUGACGGCCUUCGGGUUGUAAACCUCUGUUAGCAUCGAAGAAGCGAAAGUGACGGUAGGUGCAGAGAAAGCGCCGGCUAACUACG